GCCUAUGUGAGGCCUUCUGAAAGUUCUGUUCUCAUCAAGGGAUGUCAGACAAGGCGAAGAUGUGAAUAGGAUGCAACUGAAAGCUUUUGAACCCUUGGGAUUUAGGGCAGUUUAACGUAGAAGACUUCUGAAAUGAAUGCCAUCAGGAAGAAUAUUAUUUGCUGUUCAAGGC